rnacentral:rRNA from 1 species
ACAAGCGGUGGAGUAUGUGGUUUAAUUCGACGCAACGCGCAGAACCUUACCUAGACUUGACAUCCCGGGGAUUUUCUGGAAACAGAGAAGUGCUUUAGCAAUAAAGAACCCGGUGACAGGUGCUGCAUGGCUGUCGUCAGCUCGUGUCGUGAGAUGUUGGGUUAAGUCCCGCAACGAGCGCAACCCUCGCCUUUAGUUGCCAGCAUUCAGUUGGGCACUCUAGAGGGACUGCCGGUGUCAAACCGGAGGAAGUGGGGAUGACGUCAGGUCCUCAUGGCCUUUAUGUCUAGGGCUACACACGUACUACAAUGGCCGGUACAAAGGGCAGCCACUCAGCGAUGAGGCGCUAAUCCCAUAAAGCCGGUCUCAGUCCGGAUCGCAGUCUGCAACUCGACUGCGUGAAGUUGGAAUCGCUAGUAAUCGUAGGUCAGCAUACUGCGGUGAAUACGUUCCCGGGCCUU